UUGUUUCUUCACGUGUAGCAGAUUUGCAUUGUGGACAGGAAUUCAUGUUUAUUGGUUUAAUCAUCUUCCUAGAGGGAUACAAACAUGCCAUAAUGGUUAUUAGCCAAAGUAUGUCUUGGAUUUGUAACUCAAUUUUUCUGGUGGCUCUGUUGGCUAGCAAGCAUGCUUAUUUGUGUCGUGCAUUUCUGUGCUAAGACUUAUCAAAGUGCAAGAGUAUCCGUCUGCCUCCAAGUUUUCGGUUUAACACUAUUGGGCAUGCUCAAGUAGUAAUUGGUGGUUAAAAUGAAUUAUGACUGCCGAAGAUAAGAUGGGCCAGCAAUGAAAGAUGGGUGUCAGGCUCGUUUAAGAUUCAUUUUUGUCUUUGUUCUUCACUUUGAAGACAUGUAUUCUACUAUUUUGCUUUAAAAACCGCUGCAGUUACAUGGUGAUGGUGCCUGAAUUUGCAUUAUCACCUUAGACAUGAAGUGGGUUCUCUUAAUAGAUAAGUUCCAUAAGAACAAGGAUAAAAAGCACGUCCACAAGGCAUUAUUAUCUAGUGCAGGGUUUUUAGCAAUUUUACCACUUAGAGCUACUUAGGGUCAUUUAAUCUUAUCCUUGUUUUGGGUUGGUGAAGUCCUUAUUGGAGCUUGGAAAGCCAUGCUUGUUGGAGACAAUAAUUUUAAAGAAUAUUUAUGUUUGUUAGAUGCCAUUUGAAUAUAAUUCAUACUACCAGUUUUACUUCAAAUUUGGUCAAGAGUAGUUCAUCGGGUUGCAUCCGCCAUGUUAUCUUUUAGAAACUAUACAUUGGAUCGUAAUGGUCAUAAUACUUUGUCUGAGGCGGGCCUUGUUCCAGAAGCUCUCUUUCUCGAGGUUAAGUAGUCUAUAUAUGAAGGAUUGUUUCUGUAACAUGGAUUUGGAGUUGGUCAGAAACAGAAACUGUUAGAUGAAGAUGAGCAUGAGAUCUUCUAAGACUAUAGGACUGAUCUCAAAUAGCUCUCAGGGAGUAGCAGGGUUAUUAAAGCAGGUGCAAGAACCUCCUAUCCCCCUCGCUACUGGGGGUAUGAUUCGACCUAUUGCCUAGUUGCAGGAUCUUCCUAUCUGGGUGACAAAUCCAACUCGGAUCUGCGCUGCGAAGUUCUAAUCUCAUAGGAACCUCACUCACAUCUGAAAAGGAGUGUGUUCCUGACUAACUUCUCAAGUAUACGAAUUCCAAAAGAAUUAGAAAAAGAGCUACUUGGCAUACUACUGAUACUAGAACUAACGAGAG